ensembl:lncRNA
AGUCCUCUACCUCUCCUCUGACAGGACGUGAACCAGAGUCCUCUACCUCUCCUCUGACAGGACGUGAACCAGAGUCCUCUACCUCUCCUCUGACACCAUUGGUGACAUUUCAAGCCAGCUGUGUGAUUUUUAUGGUCAUCAUCGCCUGCUCUGACCACAUUGGUGAACCACCUGUUGUUAAAAUGUGGUGACGGAUGAAUUGAAAGACCUACAGAUGUCGUAACCUGCAGUGACCCUUCUCAGAACUCCUUGAAAAGGUCAACAUUCAUUGAGAAGAGUGAUUGAGGAUAGAGAAUGAGUAUG